rnacentral:rRNA from 1 species
AUUGAACGCUGGCGGCAGGCCUAACACAUGCAAGUCGAACGAGAGGCGGACGGGUGAGUAAUGUCUGGGAAACUGCCCGCUGGAGGGGGAUAACUACUGGAAACGGUAGCUAAUACCGCAUACCAUCGGAUGUGCCCAUAUGGGAUUAGCUAGUAGGUGGGGUAAAGGCUCACCUAGGCGACGAUCCCUAGCUGGUCUGAGAGGAUGACCAUCAACACUGGAACUGAGACACGGUCCAGACGAUUACGGGAGGCAGCAGUGGGGAAUAUUGCACAAUUGGCGCAAGCCUGAUGCAGCCAUGCCGCGUGUAUGAAGAAGGCCUUAGGGUUGUAAAGUACUUUCAGCGGGGAGGCGUUACCCGCAGAAGAAGCACCGGCUAACUCCGUGCCAGCAGCCGCGGUAAUAC